CUCUCUAUUUUGCAACUGCCGGUCGCCGGGCGGUUGCGCGAGCCGUUGUGGCGUGUUUGUCUAAUCGUGUGGUUUUGUGUUUGGUGUAACGAAAUGUGACUUAGUUCGCGAACACAGAAGUGCCAGAAGAUAGCUUGUGUCUCUCUGAAACUCGCCAUAUGCGUGGCGUGCCAGGCAAAUGGGGAUCAACGAUUUUCAUGCCCUGGAGUGCGUUCUCUUUUGUGUCUGGUUGCGGGAAGUUCGCUGGACGUCGCAAAGAAAUAAUGUGUAUUAUUAGCGUGCCUCAGCUCGUCCACUACGUAACGGCGUGUAGACUGGGAGUCGACGCAGCACCGGCAACUUGGAGAGCGCUUUUCGACCGCGUCGUACCAUUCAAAAGUGGCGAGGCCGUAACCCACACCAGUGUCCACAUAAUGGAGGAGCCAGCAGAAAUGCAGGGAAACCUUGAAUGACUGCCAUAGCGCAGUGUGUAAUCUGAUUGCUUGGUUCAGGUACACCUAGCAAAUGUAUACAUUGACGAGGAGUGGCACCUGCUCUAGUGCCAUGGCUAGGACUCCCUGUUCUGCAAAGAACUGGCGAAACUGGUGUGCGGAGUUCUGGCACUCAGGAUAGGAGCAUCACAGGGGCUCUUUGGUGGUGCUUCCUGAACGACCACAAUUUCAUUGAGAAGCCGGCAUUGAGCCUCCAUAAAUUGGAAGCUGUGGACAGUAUCAUCGACAUUGUUUCAAAUUUGUUUGUGUAAUGUUUGUAACAAUACAUGUAUUACAGCGAAAUGAUUAAUUUUCCAGAUGCACUUGAUGCAUAUCUUUCGAGAUGUGGUGCCCCUGAGGAGGAGAAAUCGCGGUGCUCAAAAUGGACCGUAGCCUAGCAGACAUGCUGAGAGAAAUUAAGUAAGCGUGUAAUUGCAAACAUGUGUACAUGCAGUAAACCUCAUUAAUUUGAACUUGUGGGGGCCAUGCGAAAUGUCAGGACUAAGCAAACGCAACCAAAAUGGUUUAAAAUAUAUAUUUAUGUUUCGGCUUCCCACGGGAGCCUUGUUCACAAUGAAACCAGCAGCAGAGUAGGUAAUGUUCUUAUCUGCAGCUCAAAACAUGAUUAAGGUACUUGGCAUACAUGGACAUGGAUGAUUAGAGAUUCAAGAUAAAGACGCGUAAAAUGAUUUCAUUCUUUAACAAU